rnacentral:rRNA from 1 species
AGGACGAACGCUGGCGGCGUGCUUAACACGUGCAAGUCGAGCGGAAAGGCCCUUCGGGGUACUCGAGCGGCGAACGGGUGAGUAACACGUGAGCAACCUGCCCUUAGCUUCGGGAUAGCUCCGGGAAACCGGAAUUAAUACCGAAUAUGAUUUUUGCUGACAUCAGCAGAAGUGGAAAGUUUUUCGGCUAGGGAUGGACUCGCGGCCUAUCAGCUAGUUGGUGAGGUAACGGCCCACCAAGGCGACGACGGGUA